rnacentral:rRNA from 1 species
UACAGAGGGUGCGAGCGUUGUCCGGAAUCACUGGGCGUAAAGGGCGCGUAGGCGGUCCGGUAAGCGUGCGGUGAAAGCCCGGGGCUCAACCCCGGGUCGGCCGUGCGAACUGCGGGACUGGAGCUUGUCAGAGGCAGGCGGAAUUCCGGGUGUAGCGGUGGAAUGCGCAGAUAUCAGGAGGAACACCGAUGGCGAAGGCAGGUCUCUGGGACGUUACUGACGCUGAGACGCGAAAGCGUGGGGAGCAAACAGG